GGCUACUAUGCCGCCUGGUGAAUAGCUCGGCUCGGGAGCCGACGAAGGACGUGCCAAGCUGCGAUAAGCUCUGGGGAGCCGCACGGAGGCGAGGAACCAGAGAUUUCCGAAUGGGAAUCCCCACCGCAAUUGCUUUUCGCAAUGGGGAACGCCGGGAACUGAAACAUCUUAGUACCGGUAGGAAGAGAACGCGCAAUGCGACGUCGUUAGUAACCGCGGGUGAACACGACAUAGUCCAAACCGAAGCCUACGACCACGCGAGAGCGUGAUCACGGGCAAUGUGGUGUGUGGGCUGACACGCACCGCCAGAUCGCUAUCGUGAAGUCUCCUGGAACGGAGCACGAAACAGGGUGAUAGUCCCGUAACGGCGGUCAGUACGGCGCGAGUCAGUACCGGAGUAUCGGGGGUUGGAAAUCCCUCGUGAAUAGAGCAGGCAUCGACUGCUAAGACUAAGUACUCCCCGAGACCGAUAGUGAACAAGUAGCGCGAGCGAACGCUGAAAAGUAUCCUCCAACGGGAGGUGCAAUAGGGCUUGAAAUCAGGUGGCGAUGGAGCGACGGGGCAUAAAAGGUCCCACGAGAAACGACCGUGGCGCGAGCCACCAGUAGGAGACGUGGGAAGCCGAUGUUCCGUCGUACGUUUUGAAAAACGAACCAGGGAGUGUGUCUGUUUGGCGAGUCUAACCCGUCGACCGGGGGAGGCAUAGGGAAACCAACAUGGCCGCAGCAUUGCCAGGGCCGCCGUGUUCAAGCGCGGGGAGCCAGUCGGACACGACCCGAAUCCGGACGAUCUACGCGCGGGCAAGGUGAAGCAUGGCGAAAGCCAUGUGGAAGCCUGUUAGGGAUGGUGCUCUACAACGCCCUCCCGUGACCUGUGUGUAGGGGUGAAAGGCCCAUCGAGUCCGGCAACAGCUGGUUCCGACCGAAACAUGUCGAAGCAUGACCUCCGCCGAGGUAGUUCGUGGGGUAGAGUGACUGAUUGCCGUGUCCGCCUCCGAGAGGAGUCGGCGCGGCUGUCAAACUCCGAACCUACGGACGCUGUCGACGCGGGGAGUCCGGUGCGCGGGGUAAGCCUGUGUACCAUAAGGGAGACAACCCAGCGCUGGGUUAAGGUCCCAAAGUGUGGGUUAAGUGCGAUCGAAGGUGGUCUCAAGCCCCAGACAGCCGGGAGGUGAGCUUAGAAGCAGCUACCCUCUAAGAAAAGCGUAACAGCUUACCGGCCGAGGUUUGAGGCGCCCAAAAUAAUCGGGGCUCAAACCCACCACCGAGACCUGGCCGUGCCUGUGACAGGGCAGUUGCGUAGGUCGGCGCUCCGCGCGGGUGGAAGUACGGGAUAGAUCUCGUAUGGACCGCGUGGUGACGAAAAUCCUGGUCGUAGUAGCAGCGAAAGUCGGGUGAGAAUCCCGACGGCCGAAAGGGCAAGGGUUCCUCGGCACUGUUCGUCAGCCGAGGGUUAGCCGGUCCUAAGAGACGUCGCAACUCGAGCGUCUCAAAAGGGAAACAGGUUAAUAUUCCUGUGCCACCGUACAGUCAACACUGACGCCCAGGGGUCGACCGAGCCGGGCAUUCGCCCGGUCGAAGCGUCAAAGAUCGUGGAAGCCGUAACGGCACGAAGCGACCGAACGGCGCGAUAGCGAAAGUCGGUCCAACCUAGGGCCCGUGAAAAAGUAAGUACGGUGUCCGUACCGAGAUCCAACACAGGUGCCCAUGGCGGCGAAAGCCUAGGCCUGUCGGGAACAACCGACGUUAGGGAAUUCGGCAAGUUAGUCCCGUAAGUUCGCGAUAAGGGAUGCCUGCUCCGGAACGGAGCAGGUCGCAGUGACUCGGACGCUCCGACUGUCUAAUAACAACAUAGGUGACCGCUAAUCCGCAAGGACUUGUACGGUCACUGAUUCCUGCCCAGUGCGGGUAUCUGAACACCGUGUACAAACGGACGAAGGACCCGUUAACGGCGGGGGUAACUAUGACCCUCUUAAGGUAGCGUAGUACCUUGCCGCUUCAGUAGCGGCUUGCAUGAAUGGAUUAACGAGAGCGUCACUGUCCCAACGUUGGGCCCGGUGAACCGUACAUUCCAGUGCGGAGUCUGGAGACUCCCAGGGGGAAGCGAAGACCCUAUGGAGCUUUACUGCAGGCUGUCGCUGAGACGUGGUCGCUGAUGUGCAGGGUAGGUAGAAGUCGUUACCGAGGCCCGUGCGCCAGCACGGCGCCCAGACACACAUGAAACACUACCCGUCAGUGACUGCGACUCUCACUCCGGGAGGAGAACACCGGUAGCCGGGCAGUUUGACUGGGGCGGUACGCGCUUGAAAGAAUAUCGAGCGCGCCCCAAGGCCACCUCAGCCGGGUCGGAGACCCGGCGGAGAGCGCAAGAGCAAAAGGUGGUUUGACAGUGUCCUUCCCAACGAGGGACGCUGACGCGAAAGCGUGGUCUAGCGAACUUUUGCGCCUGCUUGAUGCGGGCCAAAAAUGACAGAAAAGCUACCCUAGGGAUAACAGAGUCGUCACCCGCAAGAGCACAUAUCGACCGGGUGGCUUGCUACCUCGAUGUCGGUUCCCUCCAUCCUGCCCGUGCAGAAGCGGGCAAGGGUGAGGUUGUUCGCCUAU
rnacentral:rRNA from 1 species